CGGACGCAGGUUCGCUUCUAUGGAAGCCGAGAGGCGCAGAUAUUCAUCAUGCGUCGCGUGACAGUUUGCAUCUUUAGUUUGGGACCAGAGUCACAUCACACUCAGGAAGACAAACAAGCGUCCUGUGGAAGGUCAGCAGAAGGCGGGAAGAUGAUGCCCUCUAGUGGUGGAAAAAAGUCCUGACUAGAACAAUAACAAGUCCUGCAACAAAGAGGCACAGCUUCAGGGUCAGGAAUAAACCAGUCAGAGCUGCUUGUGCUGGUCGUUGCACCUCCGUGAAAAAAGGGCCAUUUUUGGGCGAACCAGAAAUCUAAAAUAAUGUCAACUGUCCUGAGUUAUAGCCGCCUGUGAAAUGUUUUUAACGCUGUGAACAGUUUUUAUCAUGUCGCAUGUCUCAAACAAUCAGGAUCAGUCGAGAAACACAAAAUGUUUGGCUCAAAAUAACAGCUGACGUCAUUUUUAAUACAAAGUUCAACUGAGACAUUCUGUAUCAUCUUUACUAUGUUACUCAUUUUAGUCUUUUUUCUUAAACUUGAAGCCAAAACAUUGUUUCAGGUAAUGUUGAAGAUUUGGAAAAU